AUACGUAGGUGGCAAGCGUUGUCCGGAAUUAUUGGGCGUAAAGCGCGCGCAGGCGGUCUCUUAAGUCUGAUGUGAAAGCCCCCGGCUCAACCGGGGAGGGUCAUUGGAAACUGGGAGACUUGAGUGCAGGAGAGGGAAGCGGAAUUCCAUGUGUAGCGGUGAAAUGCGUAGAGAUAUGGAGGAACACCAGUGGCGAAGGCGGCUUCCUGGCCUGUAACUGGCGCUGAGGCGCGAAAGCGUGGGGAGCAAACAGGAUUAGAUACCCUGGUAGUCCACGCCGUAAACGAUGAGUGCUAGGUGUUAGGGGGUUUCCGCCCCUUAGUGCUGCAGCUAACGCAUUAAGCACUCCGCCUGGGGAGUACGGUCGCAAGACUGAA
rnacentral:rRNA from 1 species